AGAAUUGUGCCUGGACAUCCGU
rnacentral:miRNA from 1 species